rnacentral:rRNA from 1 species
CCUACGGGCGGCAGCAGUGGGGAAUAUUGCACAAUGUGGGAAACCCUGAUGCAGCGACGCCGCGUGAGUGGAGAAGUAUUUCGGUAUGUAAAGCUCUAUCAGCAGGGAAGAAAAUUACGGUACCUGCCUUCUACACCCCGGCUAACUACGUUCCAGCCGCCGCGGUAAUACGUAGGGGGCCAGCGUUAUCCGGAUUUACUGGGUGUAACGGGAGCGGAGACGGCAGAGCAAGUCUGAAGUGAAAUCCCAUGGCUUAACCAUGGAACUGCUUUGGAAACUGUGCAGCUGGAGUGCAGGAGAGGUAAGUGGAAUUCCUAGUGUAGCGGUGAAAUGCGUAGAUAUUAGGAGGAACACCAGUGGCGAAGGCGGCUUACUGGACUGUAACUGACGUUGAGGCUCGAAAGCGUGGGGAGCAAACAGGAUUAGAUACCCUUGUAGUC